GUAUUAAUUAAUGAUCCCUUAUAUUUUCAUAAUUAUUUUAAUUCAUAAAUUCGAUACUUUCAAAGGCAAUACGAAUUAAGAGACUCACAUGUUCAUCCAUUGCCCGACAAUGAUUCAUUCCUAAUAGGCACCCCUCGUAAGAUAAAGGAGGCGUAGACCUUUAUCGACCUAGCGACUACUUCGCAUCGAUAAUUAGAUCGAUAAAUGUCCAGUCAGCCGCUGCCGACUGAUGGCGCCGUGGCUAUUUUCUACGUUCCCCUUACCCCGUUCGGGAUGCCUAGAAACUCGAUUCAUUGUCGGGCAGUGUGCUAUUUAAGCAACUGAUGCCUUAAUUCGUAUAAAUAUUAUUUCGUCGCUUAUCAAAUAUUAAACAAGAACGAAUGACAAGUGCUAUGAGUGCCAAGGCGAACGCAGCCCAAGUGAGACGCAACGUCCGACAUAAAAUCUUUUUAGGAUCACAGCGUUGAAUAUCUCGACGAUAUUGCAUCGACGUUGCACCUCGAAAGAAUGUUUGCAAAGAGUGCAUUUAUUCGCAAGGGUCUUCAUAGAAGAGCACCGCUUCUCGUCGCGGCGGUGCGCUCCGCCAGGGAUUCUUUGUCCGGAGGAAUGCAACUGACCCUCUCCUCCUCCUUCUCUGCUCAACUCUCGUGUCCUCCCACCACCGCUGCAGCUGCAGUCACGCGUGGCACGCUCUGCACACGUGGAUCGCGCGUUUUCUAACUCGUUCGUGCUCGACUCUCUCCGGAUGCGCUCGCGAGACGAUGCCCACCACGUGUCCCUCGUCCCGGAGAUUGGAUCCCACGCGCAUUCGCGCUCGCACCGGGCGAUUCAUUAUCAACACGAGAAGUCGCUCGUGCAUCAUCGCGUCGCGCAAUUAAGCCGAUCACGCGAAUGACCCGCAGUAAUGGCUCGUGUUCAUUUAACAUUUGCUCGGUUAUUUUGCUCAAAAUUUUGAUUACACGAUAUACAAACCUGGGAACGGCCGUUAUUCCACAUUGCGGAGGCAAAAUGCGUGCUUUUGGCGAUACGUGUCGCAAUUAGAUAUCAUAAAGGUAAUAAUAGACGAUGGAGAAGCAGCGCGUUAUUAAAAGAUCGUAUUUUAUGGAAAUCACAAUUGAAUGAAAUUUUUUGAGUUUUCCUGCAGGCGAAAGCAUUUUUAAUAAUGUCUUUGCCGAGUUUUUUUUUACAGUUAAGUAAGAUUGAUAAUUAGUAUUUCUUUUUUGAAAUUAGACUUGAUCGCGCAAUUUGUUUUAAUUCAUCUAAUUGCAGGCAGCUUUAUGCGAUAAUAUUGGAGUACGAGCUUUUUCUCGAUGCAAAAUAAUACAAUACUAAUGAGCGUAUACAAAACCUUCCGAGAUUUAUGUUCCGAGACAUAGUUCCAUAUAUUUCACCCUAAUUCAUCAUCAUUCGAGCUUCCGAAAAGGCUGGCGGUAUAUCAUUCCUCGAAAAGUAAUUAAGAAUCCACCCCCUUCGGUCAAAUUCCGACACCCUAAUUGGAUGCAGGACAUAUCCUAUUAAUUUCUCUUGUACCGGUCCAUUUGACUAAUGAAUCUGUGGCAGCUAAUUGCUAUAGAGUUUCUACUGGAUACGAGAACGCACAACUCAUCCGCGUUACAAUAAAAUAAAUUAAAAGUGAAUGGAUGGUUAAAUCUGUUAAACAAAUCACAGUGUUAUAUAUAUUGUGUAUGAAAAUUGUGUUUAAAAUUAUUUGAAUUAUUUUAUCAAACUGUAAAUUUACAAAAAAAUAUUUUUAUUAUUAUAUUAUAAAACGUAGUUAUAUAUAAUUUUUUUAAUACUCUGCGCAAUCAAAUAUAUAAAUUGCAGCGAAAUUUAUAACGAUGUAACUACCGCAAUUAAGAUUCCCCUGACAAUCAAGUAUCACGAUUUCGGAACUGGAAACAGCGGAGUGUCGUAAUUAUCUCUGAAAUUACGAAAAAAUAACAGUUACUCAGCUUAGAUCGUAAAAUUGAACUAACGAGAAGCGCGGUAAAAUAGCAUUCAUCACACGCUAUAAAAAAGGGGGACCUAAAUGUGAGUAAAUGUGACGGAUGCAAGUUGUUAUACGUUUAAUUUUUGGCCACACACGAAUAGGUAUGUGUUUAAAAAAAAUCCUCAGGUAAGGAAAGUAUAUGAAACAAAAUAAAAUGUUCAAGUCAUAAGUUAACAAUAGUAAUUGAAAAACAAUGAUACAUGCAUGGGUCUAUGCAUGAACAAGAAUUUUGCCCUAAUAUAAAGAUAAACCUAAUAUCAGAUAAACAUUAUAUAAAAACUAUUAAAUUAGAUUAUUAAUAAAUAUUAUUUUAUAUACACACACACAUAUAUAUAUGCAUGCAUAAUACAACUGUGACAUAAUGCAUAAUUAUAAUUACGUUUUAUUCAGUACAUUGAAAUUGCAUAUUUAAUUAGUUUUUUUUCUUUUUCUAUUUGCCUUUAUUUUCAUAUUUUCUAAAAAUUAAUUUUACACUUAUCUAUUUAUUCUUUAUAUUUAUGUUUGGGAUAAAUAUUUAAAAAUUAAUACUAAAUCUAUCUCAAUAAGUUUCCCAAUUUUUUCUUCUUUCUUUUUAUUUUGAUUUUUAAAAAUUAGAUUUUUGUAUUUUAUUUUGAUUUCUCCUUAAUUCUUUAUUGCAUUAUUGGUAAAAAAAAAAUAUAUAUAUACAUAUGUAUAUUUAUAUGUGAAUGUGUAUAAAGCUUGUAUCUGUAGUAUCGUAGCCUAAACUAUGGAUCAAUGAUUCUGCAGAAGUCUACUGUAGUCCAACGAGUUAUGUAUUGCCCUCUAUCGCAGUUUUCUUUAAGCUUCAGUAAGUUUCGUUCAGAAUAUGAGAAACUAUUGAUAAUACAAGUAAAAUAUUUACCUUCAAAUGGUUAAUUAAAUAUAUUUUUCAUUAAUAAUUAAUUUUAUUUAAAAAUAUGGUUAUUUAAAAGUUUAAAAUAUACUGAGAUGGAUAAAUGAAGUAUGGGAAAUACAUUAAAUUAUUUCUUAAAUAACGGUUAUGAUCUUUAAUUAUAAACUUCAUGUUUGCAUCAUUUAGUUGUUUUUGAAAAUUUCUUUUGUUUAUAAAAAGUAAAAAGUUCAACUUAUUUAAAAUAGUAAAAUGUUAAACGCGUUUAAAUGAAAUGUAAAGCAAAUGUAAAAUAUUCACGUAUUAAUUUAUAUAAUUUAAGAUUCAUUAUUUUUAUAAUUAAUUGCAUAAAUAUAAAAUUUAUAAUCUAAUUGAUACAAUGAUAUAUGUAGUUUAAAUUAAUUUAAAGUUUAGUCUAUUUUAUCAUUUAAUCAGUAAUCGACGGGUGGUAACAACAUAAACGAUAAUAUCUCUUUUUGUACAUAACACAUUAUUUAUUAUUAAUAUUUAUUAAUUUAAUUAUUAAUUUUUAAUCUUGAUAAUAUUUUUCUUAUACAAAAAAAUAAUUUAAAAACUUGGUAAAUGCAAUAAAAGUUUUCUUUAAAGCACAUAAUAAAGUAACAGCAUCUGUCACGAAUUAAAUUAUUUGCCAUGUGUGUCAGCGCCCCACCGGACGUUAUUAAUAGAAAAUUAUUGUCCACCUGAACAAACGUUUCAAUACGAACUGAGACCGGAUCUUGUCCUUUUUGACUGACAAAACUUUCUCAUCUACCACUACAUUCUGCCAGGUGUUGAAGCAUCCAUGGGAAUUACACUGAUAACUCAUCGCUUAUUCUCACGAUGGUGGUUUGACAUUAUAAUAUGACAUUAUAAACAAACUAAUAAUUACUUUUUAUAAAAUGAGUAAUAACAAGAAAAAAA